UGCAGCACGCCGUCUGGACUCCUCGAAGCCUAGGAGCGUUGGGUUCGGGCUUUGUGCCCAGUUUUCAUCUGGAGUGUUGAUGAAACCAGAGCUUGAUGAGUCAUCUCUCACCAUCUGCCGGCGCUCUUAAACACACCAGAUACGGCUUAGUUUUCUCUUCCCUGCCUACGUGCGUAUCUCAUAAACCUCAGCGAGAGAGAAAGAGCAGCAGUGCGCCGCGGUACGUUUUUUUGUCUGUUGCAUUGUUCCGGUGAUUAAUGUCAUUCCUGACUAACCCAGCACACCUACUCGUAAAAGUCUUUUCUUUUUUUUCUUUCUUAAAUCUAAUAACAACAGCUUCUCAGUAUGCGGCAUAAAGCCUCAUUCAUAACCAGCUGGGAGUUGGUCAUGUGACCAGCAUUGGCAUUACCGCUU
ensembl:lncRNA